CCUACGGGAGGCAGCAGUAGGGAAUCUUGCACAAUGGGCGAAAGCCUGAUGCAGCAACGCCGCGUGGGUGAAGAAGGUCUUCGGAUCGUAAAACCCUGUUGUUAGAGAAGAAAGUGCGUGAGAGUAACUCUUAACGAGUCGACGGUAUCUAACAAGAACGCCACGGCGAACAACGUGCCAGCAGCCGCGGUAAUACGGAGGGGGCAAGCGUUAUCCGGAUUGGAUGGGCGUAAAGGGAACGCAGGCGGUCUUUUAAGUCAGAUGUGAAAGCCUUGGGCUUAAACGGAGUAGUGCAUUUGAAACUGGGAGUCUUGAGUGCAGGAGAGGGGAGUGGAAUGCCAUGUGUAGCGGUGAAAUGCGUAGAGAUAUGGAAGAACACCGAUGGCGAAGGCGGCUCACUGGACUAUAACUGACGCUGAGGUUCGAAAGCGUGGGUAGCAAACAGGAUUAGAUACCCGAGUAGUC
rnacentral:rRNA from 1 species